UAGGGAAUCUUCGGCAAUGGACGAAAGUCUGACCGAGCAACGCCGCGUGAGUGAAGAAGGUCUUCGGAUCGUAAAACUCUGUUGUUAGAGAAGAACAAGGACGUUAGUAACUGAACGUCCCCUGACGGUAUCUAACCAGAAAGCCACGGCUAACUACGUGCCAGCAGCCGCGGUAAUACGAAGGUGGCAAGCGUUGUCCGGAUUUAUUGGGCGUAAAGCGAGCGCAGGCGGUUUUUUAAGUCUGAUGUGAAAGCCCCCGGCUCAACCGGGGAGGGGCAUUGGAAACUGGGAGACUUGAGUGCAGAAGAGGAGAGUGGAAUUCCAAGUGUAGCGGUGAAAUGCGUAGAUAUUUGGAGGAACACCGGUGGCGAAGGCGGCUCUCUGGUCUGUAUCUGACGCUGAGGCUCGAAAGCGUGGGGAGCAAACAGG
rnacentral:rRNA from 1 species